UUAUACCUUUCUUCUGCUUCCCAAGUUCUGGGAUUAAAGAACUUGACAGGAAGACUUUAUUGCUGAAGAUACCAAAUACUUUCAUAUAGAACAUGGAGAAAUCCAACUGGUACUGACCUUUUCCAUAAUCCCUCUGCCAAGAGGAAACGAGAGAGGCAGAACGCACGGCUCAGUAUGACUCUCAGUGGAGUUGCUCUGUGUUCUGACUGACACAGAGUCCUGAAGCCUCCUGCUUGGCUUCUUCCACACAGCACAUCCUUUCGUACCAGUAGGAACAUGUGGACUCGCUCUUCAAACGUGGACCUGAACCAGCUGCUUCCUGUGGGAUUCUGUCACGCUUUCCCCUGGGCUUGUUAUGUUCUUUCUUUUCUGCUAAUUUGUUUCCUAGUUUGAGGUCCUGAAUAAUGGCUGAAUCUGGUUGGAAUGCAUCUUUUUAAGCUCUUUACAGUCUCCAGCCAAAUGUUGCAGGUUAAGAAGUUUGUGCACCAGGUCUGGUGAUGCAGGCCAGCAAUCCCUGCUGCUCGGGAGGCUGAAUUUGGAGGAUCGUGAUAUCAGUCAUCCCAAGCAACUUGUGAAACCCUUGCCUCAAAAUAAAACCUAAAAGUGGGCUGAUAUUAUAGCUGAGUGGUAGGAGUCAAUGCCCAGGGUGGGCAAAAGCUUAGGUUCAAUAUCUGGUACUGGGGAAAAUAAUUUUGGGCUUCAAAUAAGGGCAACGUCAAUCCCAAUUGACUAAGGCUAAGAAGGAGACUGCUUUGCAGCUAAGUGGGCUGGACAAAGGUUUAAUUGUUACACAAACACAGUGGCCAGGACCUGGGUGAGAAAACUGGGGUCUGUGCUAAGGAAGAAAGGGAGCCUGGAAAUGAGGCACAGCCAACAGCUCGGAUGCACAGCCACUUAUAAACUUCCAAGUGGACAGAUGGAUGACAAAAUAAAAAAUUUCUUUUA